GGCGAGUGAAGCGGCAACAGCUCAAAUUUGAAAUCUGGCCUCGGCCCGAGUUGUAAUUUGCAGAGGAUGCUUCUGGCGCGGUGCCUUCCGAGUUCCCUGGGACGGGACGCCACAGAGGGUGAGAGCCCCGUAUGGUCGGACACCAAGCCUGUGUGAAGCUCCUUCGACGAGUCGAGUAGUUUGGGAAUGCUGCUCUAAAUGGGAGGUAAAUCUCUUCUAAAGCUAAAUACCGGCCAGAGACCGAUAGCGCACAAGUAGAGUGAUCGAAAGAUGAAAAGCACCUUGAAAAGGGGGUUAAAUAGUACGUGAAAUUGUUGAAAGGGAAGCACUUGUGACCAGACUUGGGCCGGGCGGCUCAUCAGGGGUUCUCCCCUGUGCACUCCGCCCGGCACAGGCCAGCAUCGGUUCUCGUGGGGGGAUAAGACCGUCAGGAACGUAGCACCCUCCGGGGUGUGUUAUAGCCUGGCGGACGAUACCCCCGUGGGGACCGAGGUUCGCGCUCCGCAAGGAUGCUGGCGUAAUGGUCACCAGUGACCCGUCUUGAAACACGGACCAAGGAGUCGUCCAUUAGAGCGAGCGUUUGGGUGUAAAACCCGCACGCGUAAUGAAAGUGAACGCAGGUGAGAGCUUCGGCGCAUCAUCGACCGAUCCUGAUGUCCUCGGAAGGAUUUGAGUAAGAGUUUUAACGGACGGACCCGAAAGACAGUGAACUAUGCUUGUAUAGGGUGAAGCCAGAGGAAACUCUGGUGGAGGCUCGCAGCGGUUCUGACGUGCAAAUCGAUCGUCAAAUAUGAGCAUGGGGGCGAAAGACU
rnacentral:rRNA from 1 species